rnacentral:rRNA from 1 species
UACAGAGGGGGCGAGCGUUGUUCGGAAUUACUGGGCGUAAAGGGCGCGUAGGCGGCCCGCUAAGUCGAACGUGAAAUCCCCAGGCUCAACCUGGGAACUGCGUCCGAUACUGGCAGGCUUGAAUCCGGGAGAGGGAUGUGGAAUUCCAGGUGUAGCGGUGAAAUGCGUAGAUAUCUGGAGGAAUACCGGUGGCGAAGGCGGCAUCCUGGACCGACAUUGACGCUGAGGAGCGAAAGCUAGGGGAGCAAACAGG